rnacentral:rRNA from 1 species
GACGAACGCUGGCGGCGUGCUUAACACAUGCAAGUCGAACGGAAAGGCCCUGCUUUUGUGGGGUGCUCGAGUGGCGAACGGGUGAGUAACACGUGAGUAACCUGCCCUUGACUUUGGGAUAACUUCAGGAAACUGGGGCUAAUACCGGAUAGGAGCUCCUGCUGCAUGGUGGGGGUUGGAAAGUUUCGGCGGUUGGGGAUGGACUCGCGGCUUAUCAGCUUGUUGGUGGGGUAGUGGCUUACCAAGGCUUUGACGGGUAGCCGGCCUGGGAGGGUGACCGGCCACAUUGGGCCUGAGAUACGGCCCAGACUCCUACGGGAGGCAGCAGUGGGGAAUAUUGCACAAUGGGCGGAAGCCUGAUGCAGCAACGCCGCGUGCGGGAUGACGGCCUUCGGGUUGUAAACCGCUUUCGCCUGUGACGAAGCGUGAGUGACGGUAAUGGGUAAAGAAGCACCGGCUAACUACGUG